rnacentral:rRNA from 1 species
AGUGAACGCUGGCGGCAGGCCUAAUACAUGCAAGUCGAACGGCAGCACAGUGGAGCUUGCUCCAUGGGUGGCGAGUGGCGGACGGGUGAGGAAUACAUGGGAAUCUGCCCAGUCGUGGGGGAUAACGUAGGGAAACUUACGCUAAUACCGCAUGCGCCCUUCGGGGGAAAGCCGGGGACCGUAAGGCCUGGCGCGAUUGGAUGAGCCCAUGUCGGAUUAGCUAGUUGGCGGGGUAAAGCCCACCAAGGCGACGAUCCGUAGCUGGUCUGAGAGGAUGAUCAGCCACACUGGAACUGAGACACGGUCCAGACUCCUACGGGAGGCAGCAGUAGGGAAUAUUGGACAAUGGGCGCAAGCCUGAUCCAGCCAUGCCGCGUGAGUGAAGAAGGCCCUCGGGUUGUAAAGCUCUUUGUCCGGAAAGAAAAGCGCCGGGUUAAUACCCUGGUGUCCUGACGGUACCGGAAGAAUAAGCACCGGCUAACUUCGUGCCAGCAGCCGCGGUAAU